rnacentral:rRNA from 1 species
GACAGAGGCCUCGAGCGUUAGGCGGAAUCACUGGGCUUAAAGCGUGUGUAGGCGGGCCCGUAAGUGUCUUGUGAAAUCCCACGGCUCAACCGUGGAACUGCUGGGCAUACUGCGGGUCUGGGCCAACUAGGGGCAGCCGGAACAAGCGGUGGAGCGGUGAAAUGCGUAGAUAUCGCUUGGAACGCCGAAGGUGAAAACAGG